rnacentral:sRNA from 1 species
AGGGGCAGUCCACUCACCAUCUUCUUCAUCAUCCCAGUCCUCAGGCU